UCUCCGUAGGUGGACCUGCGGAGGGAUCAUUACUGAGUGAGGGCUCCGGCCCGACCUCCAACCCCAUGUGAACCGAAACCUGUUGCUUCGGGGGCGACCCUGCCGUUCGGCGCGGCGCCCCCGGAGGCUCAUCAAACACUGCAUCUUUGCGUCGGAGUAUCAAUCAAAUUGAACAAAACUUUCAACAACGGAUCUCUUGGUUCCAGCAUCGAUGAAGAACGCAGC
rnacentral:misc_RNA from 1 species